rnacentral:rRNA from 1 species
ACGAACGCUGGCGGCGUGGAUAAGACAUGCAAGUCGAGCGAGAUUUUUUCUUGUAGCAAUACAGGGAAAAGUCUAGCGGCGAACGGGUGCUUAACACGUGGGCAACCUGCCGUGAAGUGGGGGAUAGCUCGCCGAAAGGCGAAUUAAUACCGCAUGUGAUUAGAGAGGACAUCCUUUCGAAAUUAAAGUCGGGGCAACCUGACGCUUCUUGUGGGGCCCGCGGCCUAUCAGCUAGUUGGUGAGGUAACGGCUCACCAAGGCUUUGACGGGUAGCUGGUCUGAGAGGACGACCAGCCACACUGGGACUGAGACACGGCCCAGACACCUACGGGUGGCAGCAGUCGAGAAUUUUUGACAAUGGGGGAAACCCUGAUCGAGCGACGCCGCGUGGAGGAUGAAGGUCUUCGGAUUGUAAACUCCUGUCAUUGGGGAACAAGGUGCAUACGUUAACUGCGUGUGCAUUGAUAGUACUCGAAGAGGAAGGGACGGCUAACUCUGUGCCAGCAGCCGCGGUAAUACAGAGGUCCCAAGCGUUGUUCGGAUUCAUUGGGCCGUAAAGGGUGCGUAGGCGGCGCGGUAAGUCGGGUGUGAAAUCUCGGAGCUUAACUCCGAAACUGCAUUCGAUACUGCCGUGCUUGAGGACUGGAGAGGAGACUGGAAUUUACGGUGUAGCGGUGAAAUGCGUAGAUAUCGUAAGGAAGACCAGUGGCGAAGGCGGGUCUCUGGACAGUUCCUGACGCUGAGGCACGAA